AUCACCUGGGGGUUUUGUUAAAAUGCAGAUUCUCAUUCAGUGAGUUUGGGCUGGGGCCUGAGGUUCUGCAUUUCUAACAAGCUUCCAGAUUAUGCUGA
rnacentral:pre_miRNA from 1 species